AAGGGGAAAGUAGACAUUGUGACUG
rnacentral:piRNA from 1 species